AGCCCAGCAGGGGCGGGGCGUGGAAACCGAAGAGCCAGGAGGUCAAAUUCCAGCUGCGCCACCCCUCCCCCAGCUCCGAGACCUUGGGCGAGCUGCUCAGGCCAGAGAAAGCACUGAACAAGUAAUCUGUGUUUUGUUUCUUGUUGCGUUUUCCCCUUCCACGUUCCGAGAAGACAGCAGGCCUCGGUGUCCCUCUGCCUCCAGGUCUUUGUAUCAGACAAUGGCCGCUUCCUGGCUUUUGUGGUGAAUGCCGAACUGGGGGGGUUUGCCCCCAGGCCCAGCCGUUGGGGAGACGGGCCUGAGCCCAGAGGGAAGCAUCCAUUCCUUAGUAAGAAUGACUGAGCCCAGCUGUGUUCCUAGGAAUCCUGGCGUUGGCUUGUUCGGACACGAAAGCACUUCCCCCAACAUCCGGGCUAUUCCGGGAGGGGCUGUCUGCUGGCUCAGGCUGAGGACUGAAGUUCAAGGGCCCGGAGGAAGGAGAGACGUUUAACCAAUAUCUGGUUAACAAGCACUUUGCUCCGAUUGACCAGUGGGGACAAGCAGUUCAGAAUCUUCCAUCUUCCGGCUCCACAACAGACCCAGGCCAUGAAGCAGCAAGCUGGGAAAGAAGACCAUGUGUCUGGAUCCACUGGGGCCCUGGUGUAGACCCAGGAGUGGAAUCCGUGCGUCACAUGCUAAUUCUGUGUUCAGCUUUUGGAGGGACCGCCAGACCGUUUUCCGUUUUCCAUUCUCACCAGCACAGCCUGGCCAAUACUUAUUAUUUUGUUUCUGUUGCGUUGUGUUUGGUUUGGUUUAUCAUUGCCAACCUAGUAGGCAUCAAGUGGUAUCUCAUUGUGGUUUGAUUUGCAUUUCCUUGAUGACUAAUGCUGGUG